UCCGGUUGUGCAGGAAUACCCUUCUCCCAUCUGUGGAUCAGACGUGCACUAUUGGCAGAACGGCCGCAUUGGGGACUUUGUGGUGAAGCAGCCCAUGGUUCUGGGGCACCUCAAAGAAGGAGACAAGGGUUGCCGUUGAGCCUGGAGUUACACGAGAAAUAGAUGAGUUCUUUAAAUCUGGACACUACAAUCUGUCUCCCAGCGUUUUCUUCUGUGCCACUACGCCAGACGAUGCAAACCUCUGCACAAACACAAUGCAAACUGCUGCUACCAGUCAGAUCACUAUUACUGGAUGAAAAAUAUAAUUGUGUGCCUUUUAAACAUAUAUGUGACUGUGUGUGUGCAGACUUCAUGAUAACUUGACCUAUGAGGAGGGAGCCCUGAUCUUACUCUUGUCAGUGGGCAUUCAUGCUUGCAGGAGUCAUUCUUUGAAGCUCAGUGUUUAUUUGUGGUGCAGGUCAGUCGUCUAUAAUGAUUACACAUGUUUGUGCAACUGUUACACAUUAACUAGCCAAUCAGUAUUAUGAUCUCUGACUUCAUGGCUGCAAUGGACAUGAAGUCAGAGAUCAUUACACUGAUUGGUUACUUAGUGUGUCAGGAUGGUAAAACAGUUGGUGCUUGCUAAUUUAAAAUCACUGAUAGUAUGCUUUAUUUGCAGAAUGUCAUCUCCGUAACAUGUCUUUUGGGAUGUGUGACUGCUGUAUAUAGCAAAAAAUAGACUGUAUAUGUGUUUGUUUUUAUUAACAUAGGACCAGUUGGGCUGGUAUUUAUUGGUGGCUAAAUCCACGGGUGCUUCACAAGUAAUAAGUCAUGCAUCCAGUGUUAUGUGAAAGGGAAUUAAUAUAUGUAUAAACUGAACUUUAUGUAUGUGUUUAUUUAUUUUAGAUCUAUACUCUGAUCUGCUUGCCAAGGCUAAAGAGAUGGGGGCAGACUUCCUGCUUCCAGUUUUGAUUUUUUAAAUAUUGUCCUCUUAUAAUAGCUUUUAGUUUUAGAGUUUACUAAUGUCAAUCUUGUUUAUAAACAGCUAAUCUUUACAAAUGAUAUCUCAUACUUGAAGUAACCUUAAAGCACAGUAUAUAGCUCUUUGACUAGGUUUAAUUAUGCUUAUCAUGUUUUUGUUUCCUUAUUUGAUUCUUCAGUGUUUAUGAAAAAGACUGUAGUGUAUUUUAAUAACCUCUAGGGGGAGCAGUGAUCUUCAAAAUUGGAGAAUGAUUGUUGCUCUCACACACACUCGUGAUGAAUAGCCUCUAUCUUGCUAUAAAGCUUGGCAAUGUCCCUCUAAUCUCUCCUAAGAUCAGAUAAAGCAGUUUCUUUAUUGGGUGUUUUUUUUCUUAUUCUUACCAUGACUAUGUCAGUCCGAGAAAUGUGAGCUGGCUGAACUGAUAUCCAACUGUGAGAUCAAAUCUGUGCUCGUUAGGUCCAUAAUAUGCGAUGAGGGAGCUAUUUUAAAGUUCUGGAAGCUGGCCACUGUUAGAAGCAGUUGGCAUAGAUUUUGACUCAAGCUUCCAGGUUGUAUGACCCACUCAGGCUUCAUGCAAUUCUUUAGUUCCCAAAAUAAAUCGCCAGGGAAUCAAAGGUAAAACAAUAUGAAGGGCUUAUAUUACACUUUAUUGUUAUUUUGCCAUAGUGUCAUUUUAAGAUGCAUGCAGACAGGUAUACAUGUUCAUGUAUUAUUGGCUGUUUCAUGUCUCUUUUUUUUUUUAUUACAAUUUUCAAAAGCUUUCUUACGCGGUGGUAAGGCUUUUGGUCACAGUGUCUUAUUUUCCUAAGGCCAAAGCCUCACAAAGAUACAAUGGGAAUGACAGUGAUUCCUACAUGGACACAGUACUAAACAAGGUAAACGUUUAUGUACAGACAUUCUAAUACUGCUUAAGGAAGUGGACACACUAUUAACAACACUAUUACAUUCACCACCGACUCAAAUGAGUUGCAGCUGGGCAUACACAAAAAAGCACACGUAAAAAAUAAACUUUUGUGUUUGAAACAAACUUCAUUUACAGCAUGGCAAGAGAAUGUUUUGAUUAUUACAGCAUGGGAGAAGUCCAGAAAUUGUUUACAUAUGGCAUUUUACAAAAGAUUCACUUGCUUGUAUGUAAAAAAAAAAAAAAAAGAAACUACUCUCAAAAUUUGCUCAGUCUUUAAUGCCCACUAGAUGACAUUUAUCCAUUAAUGAAGGCUGGCGAUGUGAAACGAUUCUCCUUUGUUGAUAAAGUCCCUGCUGAUACUAGUCAGUCUUUCAAAGUACGAUGAGUCUGGAGUAUGUAUUAUGUAUGUACUUAUUGAGCAUAUUUA